rnacentral:rRNA from 1 species
GAUGAACGCUAGCGGCAGGCCUAAUACAUGCAAGUCGUACGGCAACACAGUUGCGAGCAAUCGCAACCGGUGGCGAGUGGCGCACGGGUGAGUAACGCGUAUGUAACCUACCCUUCUCCGGGACAUAACUCCGCGAAAGCGGUGCUAAUAUCCCAUACCAACUCAUCAAGACAUCUUCUUGAGUUGAAAGCAGCAAUGCGGUGAAGGAUGGGCAUGCGUCCCAUUAGCUGGUUGGUGAGGUAAUGGCCCACCAAGGCUACGAUGGGUAGGGGUUCUGAGAGGACGAUCCCCCACACUGGUACUGAGACACGGACCAGACUCCUACGGGAGGCAGCAGUGAGGAAUAUUGGUCAAUGGGCGGAAGCCUGAACCAGCCAUGCCGCGUGCAGGAUGACGGCCCUACGGGUUGUAAACUGCUUUUCCCCGGGGCGAACUAACCCCCUCGCGAGGGGGAGUGCCGGUACCGGGGAAUAAGGAUCGGCGUAACUCCGUGCCAGCAGCCGC